rnacentral:rRNA from 1 species
ACUCCUACGGGAGGCAGCAGUAGGGAAUCUUCCACAAUGGGCACAAGCCUGAUGGAGCAACACCGCGUGAGUGAAGAAGGGUUUCGGCUCGUAAAGCUCUGUUGUUAAAGAAGAACACGUAUGAGAGUAACUGUUCAUACGUUGACGGUAUUUAACCAGAAAGUCACGGCUAACUACGUGCCAGCAGCCGCGGUAAUACGUAGGUGGCAAGCGUUAUCCGGGAUUUAUUGGGCGUAAAGAGAGUGCAGGCGGUUUUCUAAGUCUGAUGUGAAAGCCUUCGGCUUAACCGGAGAAGUGCAUCGGAAACUGGAUAACUUGAGUGCAGAAGAGGGUAGUGGAACUCCAUGUGUAGCGGUGGAAUGCGUAGAUAUAUGGAAGAACACCAGUGGCGAAGGCGGCUACCUGGUCUGCAACUGACGCUGAGACUCGAAAGCAUGGGUAGCGAACAGGAUUAGAUACCCUGGUAGGAUAGCG